UACGGGGGGGCAAGCGUUGUUCGGAAUUACUGGGCGUAAAGGCUCGUAGGCGGCCAACUAAGUCAGACGUGAAAUCCCUCGGCUUAACCGGGGAACUGCGUCUGAUACUGGAUGGCUAGAGGUUGGGAGAGGGAUGCGGAAUUCCAGGUGUAGCGGUGAAAUGCGUAGAUAUCUGGAGGAACACCGGUGGCGAAGGCGGCAUCCUGGACCAAUUCUGACGCUGAGGAGCGAAAGCCAGGGGAGCAAAGCGGG
rnacentral:rRNA from 1 species